UACGUAGGGCGCAAGCGUUAUCCGGAAUUAUUGGGCGUAAAGAGCUCGUAGGCGGUUUGUCGCGUCUGCCGUGAAAGUCCGGGGCUCAACUCCGGAUCUGCGGUGGGUACGGGCAGACUAGAGUGAUGUAGGGGAGACUGGAAUUCCUGGUGUAGCGGUGAAAUGCGCAGAUAUCAGGAGGAACACCGAUGGCGAAGGCAGGUCUCUGGGCAUUAACUGACGCUGAGGAGCUAAAGCAUGGGGAGCGAACAGG
rnacentral:rRNA from 1 species